rnacentral:rRNA from 1 species
CCUACGGGCGGCAGCAGUGGGGAAUAUUGGACAAUGGGGGGAACCCUGAUCCAGCCAUGCCGCGUGUGUGAAGAAGGCCCUCGGGUUGUAAAGCACUUUCAGUGAGGAAGAACGCCUGGUGGUUAAUACCCAUCAGGAAAGACAUCACUCACAGAAGAAGCACCGGCUAACUCCGUGCCAGCAGCCGCGGUAAUACGGAGGGUGCGAGCGUUAAUCGGAAUUACUGGGCGUAAAGCGCGCGUAGGUGGCUUGAUAAGCCGGUUGUGAAAGCCCCGGGCUCAACCUGGGAACGGCAUCCGGAACUGUCAAGCUAGAGUGCAGGAGAGGAAGGUAGAAUUCCCGGUGUAGCAGUGAAAUGCGUAGAGAUCGGGAGGAAUACCAGUGGCGAAGGCGGCCUUCUGGACUGACACUGACACUGAGGUGCGAAAGCGUGGGUAGCAAACAGGAUUAGAUACCCGAGUAGUC